rnacentral:rRNA from 1 species
AAUUCUAGAGCUAAUACAUGCAAACAGAGUUCCGACCGGAGACGGGAGGAAUGCUUUUAUUAGAUCAAAACCAAUCGGCGGCGUGCGCGCUCGCGCGCUCGUUCGCCGCUCAACCUGGUGACUCUGAAUAACUUUCGGCUGAUCGCACGGUCCAGCACCGGCGACGCAUCUUUCAAAUGUCUGCCUUAUCAACUGUCGAUGGUAGGUUCUGCGCCUACCAUGGUCGUAACGGGUAACGGGGAAUCAGGGUUCGAUUCCGGAGAGGGAGCCUGAGAAACGGCUACCACAUCCAAGGAAGGCAGCAGGCGCGCAAAUUACCCACUCCCGGCACGGGGAGGUAGUGACGAAAAAUAACGAUACGGGACUCAUCCGAGGCCCCGUAAUCGGAAUGAGUACACUUUAAAUCCUUUAACGAGGAUCAAUUGGAGGGCAAGUCUGGUGCCAGCAGCCGCGGUAAUU